rnacentral:rRNA from 1 species
AUGGCGUCUGCUCCUCCUCCUUGUGCUGCUCCAGCGGUUCCCCGCAUGAAGCUGGGCUCCGAGGGAAUGGAGGUCUCGGCGCAGGGCCUCGGCUGCAUGGGCAUGUCCGUCGCCUACGGCCCCCCCAAGCCCGACGCCGACAUGGUGGCCCUCAUCCACCACGCCGUCGCCGCCGGAGUCACCUUCCUCGACACCUCCGACGUCUACGGUCCGCACACCAACGAGACCCUCCUCGGCAAGGCGCUGCAGGGCGGCGGCGUGAGGGACAGGGUGGAUCUGGCCACCAAGUUCGGCGCCUUCCUUUCAGAGGAUGGGUGGAAUGUCCGCGGGGACCCGGCGUACGUGCGCGAGGCGUGCGAGGGCAGCCUCAAGCGGCUAGGCGUCGAUUGCAUCGAUCUCUACUGCCAGCACCGCGUCGACACCAGGGUGCCCAUCGAGGUCACGAUUGGUGAGCUCAAGAAACUAGUCCAAGAAGGAAAGAUAAAGUACAUCGGAUUAUCCGAAGCAUCUGCAUCAACAAUCAGAAGGGCUCAUGCCGUUCAUCCUAUCACUUCAGUUCAGAUCGAAUGUCACUAUGGAGUAGGGACGUGGAAGAGGACAUAA